CAACAGAGUGCGGAUAUUACAUUAUCCGUUAUAUGUUUGAGAUUAUUGAGAGCGGAUGUAUUACAAAAUUUGAUGAGAUUUUUGAUAAUGAUUGUUCAUAUACUAUUGAUGACAUUAACUUCAUCCGAGACCUUUUGGCACAGCAACUGCUUCAAGAAUUGUGGUCCAGGGAUUGAGCAAGUUUAUGUUUAGAGACAAUAGGAUCAAUAUUGACUUUUGUAAUUUGUUCUUCUUUUUUGACUAGUUAGUUAAUUAAUGUGUCUAUAUAGAUGAAGUUAUGAUGUUGAUAUGUCUUGGCUGAAAAUAUUGACUGGUUCAUACUAUUUCAA